AAGUGAAAAGGCUUAAAUGGAUUAGGGGGACGAUAAGACCCUAUAAAGCUUGACAAUAAGUUAAUUAUAUUAUAAAUUGUUAGUAUAACUUGAUUUUAAUUGACGUUUGUUACGUUGGGGCGACGAGAAUAUAAUGAGUAACUGUUCUUAAACAUUUAAUGACAAAUAUAAUUGGUAUUUGACUGAUCCUUUAUUAAAGAUUAAAAGAUUAAGUUACUUUAGGGAUAACAGCGUAAUCUUCUUUGAGAGUUCAUAUCGACAAGAAGGUUUGCGACCUCGAUGUUGAAUUAAGGUAUCCUUAUGAUGCAGCAGUUAUAAAGGAAGGUCUGUUCGACCUUUAAAUCCUUACAUGA
rnacentral:rRNA from 1 species